GCCGCACGAACCGGGACCAAUGCUCACAUUAGUCCCGGUUCGUGACUGAACCGGGACUAAUGUUAAUAUUGCCCUGUGACCAAAGCCCUGUUUUCUACUAGUGACCUUUGCUUCUGUAGUUUCGCCGAACUGAACUUCUCUAAAUAACACCAACCAGAGUUUAUUCUUAGAUGUUUUUUUGUAAUUUAAAAUUGCUCAGAUUUAUUAAUCCACCAUUUCAAUGCUGUUUAUAGAGGCAAAAUGAUUGUAUUUAUAUGACUGGUUAAUAGAAAAUCUAGACAGUUAUGUCAGACCUUUAUCUUGACAUUUGCCUUUCAUAAAUCUACUAAACCUUUUUUUUACUUGAUCUUCUGUGCAGCUAUGGUUAUUGGGCCUCAAUAAUCUGAAUUCCUAAGUAAUUAUAACAACAAAAGUUUUAUUUUCUUAGGUAUACCAUUGUUGUUUUGCUGAAUGAAUAACAAGGUAGUCCAGUAGAAUUGUAACUUGUGAGCCCUGCAAAUAGUCCCUACAGAGUAGGUUUAUAGAAGGUUUGUUGAAAGAUUUAUUGUGGGUUGUGUUACUUGCCAAACAAGUGUUAUGCUCAAGUCAGACCCUUUGGUGGCUUCCCUUGUUAAAUGAUGUGCAAAGAAUUUUAUUGCUUAGUGUAAUUAAUAAGUGCUUGGAUUAUUUUGCAGUGAAAAUGUUUGUGAUUUUCCCUCUUCCUUCUCUUGUUAGAUCAUAUCACCUUAACUAUACAAAUUAAUUUGUGAAGAUAUAUGUUCCUUAAUUUGAUUGCAGCGACCAUAAUAAAAUAAUUGUAGAAACCUGUAGUGUAUUGGUCUCUUUUCUCCUAAUUGUCUAUAUAUUCUACAUCUGGUAGAUCAAGGAUCUCUCGUCAUUUGAUUUUCUUAGGGUUGCUUCGUGCUAUUUCUCUACACCUAGGUUGGGGAAUUUUGCUUCUAAUGCUCCUGAAAACUAAGAAUUUGGUACAAAAUGAAACCAUUCUGCAUUUGGAUCUGCGCUAUAGAUAAUUGGUUUAUUGAAAUUCCUCUAGGUCAUUAACAGUGGUGGUAUUUGUCCUUAUCGGAACCAUUGUUUUGAUUUCAUGGCCUCUUGUAUCUAUGUGUCCCUCUUGUAUGUAUUUUUAUUUUCUAAUCUGCGUUUAAGAAAAGAACUGUAUUUGUUUUUUUAUAAAAUCAGGUCAAAUUACUCCACUUUGAAUUAAAGUUCCAACCAUACAUACUUAUUUUGUCUGCAGAAGAUAGAUAUUUAUUACCACCAUAGAUGCAUGUGAAUACGCCUUAAGAUCUCAACAGAAGUAAGGUUAAAUGAUUACCUAUCUUGUGAUCUUCUGUUAUGAGAACAGCGGUAUCUCUGUCCACUGUGCACGUUUCUCCCAAACUAUUGAGUUAGUUUAUUCAAAUGACAGAGCGCACAGGUUCCUUCGGGUAUCUAAAUAGAUUUGGGAAGCUUUUGUUCUGAAAAAGUCUGCCUGAUUAAACAAACUCUAGAGGCUAAUGGAUUCAAACACGGAAAUAAACAGACAAUUUCACAGACCGUACAUCGCAGGCCAAUCGAAACAGAGAGAGCCAGAGAGAGAGAGGGAGGGACAGAGGGAGAGAGGUUUAUUCACACACUGUCAAUCCAAUUUUUUUGUAAUUAUUGUUAUGUGCAUAUAUUUUAUUUCUUCUUUGGUUUAGGGAACAUAGAAAUGCAGGAGCUAUUAGCCAUGCUCAUGUUAAUUUCUGUUAUGAACAUGACAGUUGAAUUCGAUAGGGUUAAAUUUGUUCCCCCAAGGUGGUGCGGGUUUCGGGGUUUCAAGGGCGUGAAAUGGCAUGGAAGACAGAGAUGGCAGCAGCCUGCAUCCUCGAAUUGGAGUUGCCUCUUGGGGAGUAGCAGGUUGCUGAAAUGACGACCAGGGUGGAUGCCCAAAGUUACAGAAAUAUCUACCUGGGAGGAGGCGCCGAAAUUUAGAGGCACACGGGAGAUGCUAGAGGAUGAUAAGAAAGAUGAGGAGAAAGCUUAGGUUUAGUUCUUUAAUAAUUUUUGUUCUUUUUUUAGAGUUCCUGAGAAUUAGUUGCAGACAAUGUUGUGAUGCUCCAAUAGUAUAGUGCAAUAUCCUACGAUGACAACUAUAAAUGUCAUACUCUAUUUGUUAGGAUAUUCUAUUCAUGCUAUAUUCAUUGUUAGUUUUGUCUUCAUCCUACUAUUUAUGGAUAUUUCCUUUAUCGCCUCCACUGGACAUGAGUAACCCGUGGCAUUUUCCAUGCUUUUCUUCUAUAUAGUGGAGGUUUCUUUCAUCAGAGCAAACUGGUUCCACAGAGGUUUCAUUAGAGCUAACUUUGUGUUUUAUCAUCUUGGAACCGUUACUAUUUGCUUAGAGGAAAGACGAAGCAACAUCUACUUUUAAUUGGAAUAAUUAUGCAAGAAGACAUUCAA